rnacentral:rRNA from 1 species
AGAGUUUGAUCCUGGCUCAGAACGAACGCUGGCGGCAGGCCUAACACAUGCAAGUCGAACGAGAAGCCACCUUCGGGUGGUGGACAGUGGCAGACGGGUGAGUAACGCGUGGGAACGUGCCUUUCGGUUCGGAAUAACUCAGGGAAACUUGGGCUAAUACCGGAUACGCCCUUCGGGGGAAAGAUUUAUCGCCGAAAGAUCGGCCCGCGUCGGAUUAGCUUGUUGGUGGGGUAAAAGCCCACCAAGGCGACGAUCCGUAGCUGGUCUGAGAGGAUGAUCAGCCACACUGGGACUGAGACACGGCCCAGACUCCUACGGGAGGCAGCAGUGGGGAAUAUUGGACAAUGGGCGCAAGCCUGAUCCAGCCAUGCCGCGUGGGUGAAGAAGGCCCUAGGGUUGUAAACCCCUUUCAGCGGGGAAGAUAAUGACGGUACCCGCAGAAGAAGCCCCGGCUAACUCCGUGCCAGCAGUCGUUGGUAAUACGGAGGGGGCUAGCGUUGUUCAGAAUUACUGGGCGUAAAGCGCGCUUAUGCGGACUUUCCAGUCCCGGGUUAAUUCCCGACGCUCAACCUCGGAACUGCCUCUGAUACUGCACGUCUUGACACCCAUUACCUGCGAUUGCACCUCCUAUUGUAUAGGUGAUACUCGUAGAUUAUCGGAAUAACCCUAUUGGCGUAAUGCUGCUCACUUGGCUCUGUU